rnacentral:rRNA from 1 species
UACAGAGGGCCCAAGCGUUGUUCGGAUUCACUGGGCGUAAAGGGUGCGUAGGUGGUGAGGUAAGUCGGAUGUGAAAUCUCCGAGCUCAACUCGGAAAUGGCAUUGGAAACUACCUUGCUUGAGGGUUGGAGGGGGGACUGGAAUACUUGGUGUAGCAGUGAAAUGCGUAGAUAUCAAGUGGAACACCAGUGGCGAAGGCGAGUCCCUGGACAACUCCUGACACUGAGGCACGAAAGCUAGGGGAGCAAACAGG